rnacentral:rRNA from 1 species
ACGUAGGGUGCAAGCGUUAAUCGGAAUUACUGGGCGUAAAGGGCGUGUAGGCGGUUUGUUAAGUCUGGCGUGAAAGCUCUCGGCUAAACCGGGAGAGGUCGUUGGAUACUGGCAGACUAGAGGACGGUAGAGGCGUGUGGAAUUCCGGGUGUAGUGGUGAAAUGCGUAGAUAUCGAGAGGAACACCUGCGGCGAAGGCGGGUUGCUGGGCUGACACUGACGCUGAGGCGCGAAAGCCAGGGGAGCGAACGGGA